rnacentral:rRNA from 1 species
AAAUUGAAGAGUUUGAUCAUGGCUCAGAUUGAACGCUGGCGGCAGGCCUAACACAUGCAAGUCGAACGGUAACAGGAAGCAGCUUGCUGCUUCGCUGACGAGUGGCGGACGGGUGAGUAAUGUCUGGGAAACUGCCCGAUGGAGGGGGAUAACUACUGGAAACGGUAGCUAAUACCGCAUAACGUCGCAAGACCAAAGUGGGGGACCUUCGGGCCUCACACCAUCGGAUGUGCCCAGAUGGGAUUAGCUAGUAGGUGGGGUAACGGCUCACCUAGGCGACGAUCCCUAGCUGGUCUGAGAGGAUGACCAGCCACACUGGAACUGAGACACGGUCCAGACUCCUACGGGAGGCAGCAGUGGGGAAUAUUGCACAAUGGGCGCAAGCCUGAUGCAGCCAUGCCGCGUGUAUGAAGAAGGCCUUCGGGUUGUAAAGUACUUUCAGCGAGGAGGAAGGCGUUGUGGUUAAUAACCGCAGCGAUUGACGUUACUCGCAGAAGAAGCACCGGCUAACUCCGUGCCAGCAGCCGCGGUAAUACGGAGGGUGCAAGCGUUAAUCGGAAUUACUGGGCGUAAAGCGCACGCAGGCGGUUUGUUAAGUCAGAUGUGAAAUCCCCGGGCUCAACCUGGGAACUGCAUUUGAAACUGGCAAGCUUGAGUCUCGUAGAGGGGGGUAGAAUUCCAGGUGUAGCGGUGAAAUGCGUAGAGAUCUGGAGGAAUACCGGUGGCGAAGGCGGCCCCCUGGACGAAGACUGACGCUCAGGUGCGAAAGCGUGGGGAGCAAACAGGAUUAGAUACCCUGGUAGUCCACGCCGUAAACGAUGUCGACUUGGAGGUUGUGCCCUUGAGGCGUGGCUUCCGGAGCUAACGCGUUAAGUCGACCGCCUGGGGAGUACGGCCGCAAGGUUAAAACUCAAAUGAAUUGACGGGGGCCCGCACAAGCGGUGGAGCAUGUGGUUUAAUUCGAUGCAACGCGAAGAACCUUACCUACUCUUGACAUCCAGAGAACUUAGCAGAGAUGCUUUGGUGCCUUCGGGAACUCUGAGACAGGUGCUGCAUGGCUGUCGUCAGCUCGUGUUGUGAAAUGUUGGGUUAAGUCCCGCAACGAGCGCAACCCUUAUCCUUUGUUGCCAGCGGUCCGGCCGGGAACUCAAAGGAGACUGCCAGUGAUAAACUGGAGGAAGGUGGGGAUGACGUCAAGUCAUCAUGGCCCUUACGAGUAGGGCUACACACGUGCUACAAUGGCAUAUACAAAGAGAAGCGACCUCGCGAGAGCAAGCGGACCUCAUAAAGUAUGUCGUAGUCCGGAUUGGAGUCUGCAACUCGACUCCAUGAAGUCGGAAUCGCUAGUAAUCGUAGAUCAGAAUGCUACGGUGAAUACGUUCCCGGGCCUUGUACACACCGCCCGUCACACCAUGGGAGUGGGUUGCAAAAGAAGUAGGUAGCUUAACCUUCGGGAGGGCGCUUACCACUUUGUGAUUCAUGACUGGGGUGAAGUCGUAACAAGGUAACCGUAGGGGAACCUGCGGUUGGAUCACCUCCUUACCUUAAAGAA